CUACGUGCCAGCAGCCGCGGUAAUACGGAAGGUCCAGGCGUUAUCCGGAUUUAUUGGGUUUAAAGGGAGCGUAGGCUGGAGAUUAAGUGUGUUGUGAAAUGUAGACGCUCAACGUCUGAAUUGCAGCGCAUACUGGUUUCCUUGAGUACGCACAACGUUGGCGGAAUUCGUCGUGUAGCGGUGAAAUGCUUAGAUAUGACGAAGAACUCCGAUUGCGAAGGCAGCUGACGGGAGCGCAACUGACGCUUAAGCUCGAAGGUGCGGGUAUCAAACAGGAUUAGAUACCCUGGUAGUCCGCACAGUAAACGAUGGAUGCCCGCUGUUGGUACCUGGUAUCAGCGGCUAAGCGAAAGCAUUAAGCAUCCCACCUGGGGAGUACGCCGGCAACGGUGAAACUCAAAGGAAUUGACGGGGGCCCGCACAAGCGGUGGAGCAUGUGGUUUAAUUCGAAGCAACGCGAAGAACCUUACCAGGUCUUGACAUCCCUCUGACCACUCUAGAGAUAGA
rnacentral:rRNA from 1 species